GGUUGGAGGAAGAAGAUGAUGGUGGUGGUUAGGGAGAAGAAGAAUGGUGGGUCUGGUUUUUUUAGGCGUCACCUCCUGGGAAAGGAAGAGACUUUUUCUUUUAAGAGAGAAAAAUCCCCAAUCUCUCGUCCGUCUUUUUUCUUUCUCUUUUUUUUAUGUGAACCGUUGAGAGAGCUUUUUUGUCUUCCGUUUCGGAUGGUGAGUGGAGGGAGUAUUAGUGAUCAUUCCACUUGCAAACUGUCAAAAAGAAAAUGAGAGAGAGAGUUUUUGGACGCUAGCUGGCGUUUAGUUCUCAGAAGAUAUUUUUUAGCUGAUUUUUUUUAUACUCCUAUUUAUGUAAUUUCUAAUUUUUGAUUGGAUGAAUAGGAAAAACAUGGAUUGCUUAACAUAGACCAUUGAUUAUUUUGAAUCGAUGAUCG
rnacentral:lncRNA from 1 species